AAGGAGUAUGUGUGUAGUGUCUUCUUUUUCUUCGCAUCCGUGUAAGCAUUCUGGAUUAAUGUCCAUGUCCGAUUUGCUUAAAGUGUUAUUAAGUUUGCAGUGGCCACUUUUGAGCCUAAAAAGUGCUGUCUGGAUCUUUCUUCUUUUGUGGGUGUGCCAAGGGCACAUGCCCAUUCUCUGACGGUUGAUCACUCCAGUGUUGGUAGAGAUUGUUUAUAAUCUAGUUAAAACUUGCAUUUUUAGCAGUCUUUCAGCUACAUUUGGGCAGUGGCUCAACUGGUGACCUACGUUUGUGUGGCGUCCGGCGUUGGCUAGAUUAUAUGCUGUUGCAUUGCCUUGUAUACCUGAGUGGCUUGGUAUUGUGUUGCUAGCUGUCCAUUUGAAGUUCCUGAUUGCCUCUAUGGCUGCUUUGGAGUCGCAGUAGAUGGUGAUCAUGUUCCAGUCUUGGUGGUAUACGUGGGCCAGGGCUUGAUUGAUGGCUUCUAGUUCAACGUUGAAGCUGUUUGUUGAUUCAGACAGCAGGAAUGAUUCUUUUAUUUUCAAUUUAUGUAUGAAGAAUGCGCAUGUUGACUUCCUGCUUGUCAUGCAUGUGGAUCCAUCCGUGUAUAUGGACAAGUGGUCUGGUGGUUCAUCUUUGUUGAUUGCUCUGAAGGUUGCAGACGUAAGUUUUUGGAUUCUUGUUUUCGGGGCUGAUGAGAUGACUGCGGCUCCAUAGUCUAUUUUGCUGCGGAUGAUUGCUGUAUAAAUACGGAGGAGGAGGGUAGUUUGCAGCGGGUGUUUGCCAUAGGUGAAAGCUGCACAUUUGGUGGUUGAGAGUUCAAGUUUCCAGUGUUUGGUCCAGCUGUCUAUUAUGUCGAGGGACGUUUUGCAGCCGGCUACUGGUGGCGGAAAGUCAGCCAUCGUGAUAUUGAAGAGUAUUGGGCUUAAGACGCACCCUUGGGGGACGCCUCUAUUAAGAUAUCUUUCUUCGGACAUGUUGUUUUCCAUUUUGACAGUAAUACUUCUGUUGGUUAGGAAGUUUUGGAGCCAAUUAAGCCUUUUUCAGAUCCAGGAAUACUGCUGUGGUGGAUUUCUUUUCAUUGAAGCCGCUGAUGAUAUCGGAUUCGAGACGAACUAUGUUAUCGUUGGUAGUGCACCCACUUCUAAAGCCUGUUUGGAAUUUUGGAAGAGGCAUGAGGUCAGCGAAAUUGGCCUGUCCGAGUUGGUAUCUUCUGGAGGUUUAUUUGGCUUUAGGAUUGGGAUGACAAAACCAGUUUUUGGGUCCUGACUCACGGAACCACUGGUGCUUCUCCUUGAUCACGUCACUCAGUGGAUAGUUGUCCUGCCACCUGCUCAGUGCUGUCCUCGAGAAUGAAAAUUCUGCAUUGUCACAGAGUUUGUUGUCCCUACAGCGAUUUUACCACCCGUUCUUCUUACCGAUGCAGCCAGUCUCCAACGUCGUCAUGAUCUCCUCCUGCAAAGUCGGGUGAGGCUUGGAACUUAAUCUGCGCCGCAAAAGCUAUGGGUGGGUUAAGAAAUUGCGUUAACCUAAUUGGAUCCCGCCCUGGUUCCCGUGCUGCCUGAAGGCCUCGCGUUACCCGUUUACCUCGACUUGCCGACCUUUCACUAGAUGCUGGUCGAUUUCUCAGUUCCCUUAUCCUACUACUUACUGCCGACGAACUUCUUCUGAAUGCUCCGAAAUCCAACUCCAGCUGUGGUUUGUCGUCGUCUCCGUCUACUCCUUGUACGUCCUCCUUCCCUUCCAUGUCCGCUUCAAUGAUAGUCAGUUGAUAAACCAUUUGAGUUGAUCAUCUGGUCCUUACUUCCCCCGACCGCUCUUGGUCCGAUAGCCUCACUUGCUCUUCCGCUUCACAAUCCUGCGACAGAGGAAUCCUUGGCCAGAUACAGCACCUUUCUUCCCUCGACCGCUUUUGGUCCGAUAGUCCCAAAAAACUAUUUCAACCCCAUAUCGAAAAGAUAUUUAGUUUUGAUAUCCACCGAUUAUUCACAGGAUGUAUGCGCAUUCACGCAUCAAAAAAGACGAAUUUGUUAUUUACCUAUUUGAGAAAAGUAUCCUAUUUUGAUCCUCAUAGCUGUAUUUCACGCUUAAACAUAGAACGCAUCUUAAUUCAGCAUAAGAAUAAAAGGCAAUAAUGCUGAAAAAAUACUUUUCAAACCAAACCAUAGGUUUUCCGGCCAGAGGUUUUUUUAGAAAGAAAAAUCCUUGGGACUAUCAGGGAAAUAGAAGAAACGUUUGAACGAGUAAGGGAAACCAGAAGGAGUAUAAAUGACGGAGUAAAAAUUCCUUUCGGGCCAAGAGGACGCAAGCUGAUUUUUCUAAAGUUUGAUCAACCUUCGUGGAGCGCAGUACAGUAGUCGGGUAUAGGCAGUAGACAUAGUACAAUAAGUCCGCUCUAAGCAAGAUACCGAGAUACGGAGUCUGGAAGGGGAGUAAUUUGUGCGACGGUAUAAAACAAUGCUACUUAGGUCCAGUUCCUAAAGUUGAGGUACAAAGAAAGAUACGUGAAACGUUCACUGAAGGGUAAAUGCGUUUUUUAAGAAAAUAAACGUCGAAAAAAGAAAUUACAAAGAAAAAGGGGACGUAUAUGAAACGAACUUGUAGUGUGUAAGUGUAAUAAAAUAAGUCGUUUUUGGUUCUUCACACUAUUGCCAUAUUUGCUUCAAUAUUGCUGUUUUAAGCCAUCGGCAAUAAACAUCGAAGAUUCACAAGUAUAAAUUUUUUAUAUAAUCUAUUUCUCUUACACAAUCUCAGUGAGAUUGGUUAGUUCUCUUUUUUUUCAAUUUUGUUCCAUAAUCGUUGCUGCCUACAUUGCCGGGGCCGUAUUCUAGCCUUGGCUUAAGCACAGAAUGUUUUCUUGACUAUAUUUUUCUUUUUUUUUAAUUCUUGCCUGAAUUUACUGAAAACCGUAUUCAAGCCUUUUUUUGCUUAGAUUUUCUACUUAAGAAAUUUUUUAAACUUGUCUGUUUAUGUUUACGGUAGAAAAUUUUUGUACGUCAACUAAUAGUUGGCCUUCAGCAAUUUUUUUUAUUAUGUGCUUUGAAUCAUGCUAAACGCUACUGUUGUCCUAGUUUUCCUUAAAUAUAAC